GCCCGGCUAGCUCAAUCGGUAGAGCGUGAGACUCUUAGUUCACCAGCUCUUCAAGAUGCAGUGAUCGAGGACAUCUCAAGGCUGCGGGUUCGACCCCCGCGUUGGGCU